AGGAGCCGGAUGAUGCGGGAGUAUCAUGUCCGGAUCUGUGAGAGACUUGGGGUGAAACUCCCCUUGUCUACUCGAC
rnacentral:ncRNA from 1 species